UACAGAGGGUGCAAGCGUUGUUCGGAAUUAUUGGGCGUAAAGAGCUCGUAGGCGGUUUGUCGCGUCUGCCGUGAAAGUCCGGGGCUCAACUCCGGAUCUGCGGUGGGUACGGGCAGACUAGAGUAUGGCAGGGGAGACUGGAAUUCCUGGUGUAGCGGUGAAAUGCGCAGAUAUCAGGAGGAACACCGGUGGCGAAGGCGGGUCUCUGGGCCAUAACUGACGCUGAGGAGCGAAAGCGUGGGGAGCGAACAGG
rnacentral:rRNA from 1 species